GAUGAACGCUGGCGGCGUGCCUAAUACAUGCAAGUCGAGCGAACAGACGAGGAGCUUGCUCCUCUGACGUUAGCGGCGGACGGGUGAGUAACACGUGGAUAACCUACCUAUAAGACUGGGAUAACUUCGGGAAACCGGAGCUAAUACCGGAUAAUAUAUUGAACCGCAUGGUUCAAUAGUGAAAGACGGUUUUGCUGUCACUUAUAGAUGGAUCCGCGCCGCAUUAGCUAGUUGGUAAGGUAACGGCUUACCAAGGCAACGAUGCGUAGCCGACCUGAGAGGGUGAUCGGCCAAACUGGAACUGGAACACGGGCCAGACUCCUACGGGGGGCAACAAUAGGGAAUCUUCCGCAAUUGGCGGAAAGCUGACGGAGCAACGGCGCGUGAGUGAUGAAGGUCUUCGGAUCGUAAAACUCUGUUAUUAGGGAAGAACAAAUGUGUAAGUAACUAUGCACGUCUUGACGGUACCUAAUCAGAAAGCCACGGCUAACUACGUG
rnacentral:rRNA from 1 species